UACGGGGGGAGCAAGCGUUGUUCGGAUUUACUGGGCGUAAAGGGCGCGUAGGCGGCCACCGCAAGUCGACUGUGAAAUCUCCGGGCUUAACCCGGAAAGGUCAGCCGAUACUGCGGGGCUAGAGUGCAGAAGGGGCAACUGGAAUUCUCGGUGUAGCGGUGAAAUGUGUAGAGAUCGGGAGGAACACCGGUGGCGAAGGCGGGUCUCUGGGCAAUUCCUGACGCUGAGGCGCGAAAGCGUGGGGAGCAAACGGG
rnacentral:rRNA from 1 species